rnacentral:piRNA from 1 species
UAGCUGAGGAGUUGGGAGGAAUUGG